CACGUAGGGCGCAAGCGUUGUCCGGAAUUAUUGGGCGUAAAGAGCUCGUAGGCGGUCUGUUGCGUCCGCUGUGAAAACUCGGGGCUUAACCCCGAGCCUGCAGUGGAUACGGGCAGACUGAGAGGUAGGUAGGGGAGAAUGGAAUUCCCGGUGUAGCGGUGAAAUGCGCAGAUAUCGGGAAGAACACCCGUGGCGAAGGCGGUUCUAGCUGGGCAUGUCCUGGACGCU
rnacentral:rRNA from 1 species